UUUAGAGAGAGAAGAAGAGAUUUUCUCCAAAGAAAUCAGUAUCACAGAAAAUUCGAGGUCUUCUUCUUAUAUCUUUGUGUUUUUCUUAGUUUAUAGGGUUUCAAUUCAAACACGCAAAUUUUCGAGAUCUUUUCCUGCCAAUUUCAUCAUUUAGAGAGUAAUUUUAGGUUCAAUCUAUUUUAGGUUCAAAUUGAUUGAAUAAAUUCUGAGAUAUGGUAUUUCUUUCCAAUUUAAUUGAAAAAGAGAAAAGAAGAGAAGCUACAGUCUUAGUUUAUCCGAGAUCUGGUUUUAAAAGUUUAGUUGAAAUUAUAUCUCAACUUGAUUUAUCAAUUUAAAUUGCAUCUCGAGUUGAGUAAUCCAGUCGAACAAUCCUUCGUAUUGAUCAUCUUCAGAUUAAGCUAUUAGUAGUAUUUGGAUCAUUCAUCAGCUCAAUUGAAUUUUCAGGUUUUCAAUUUUCUUUUUCUGUAUUGAUUUUUGAUUUGUUUUGUGAAUUUGCAAUUUACUUUUGAUGACGAAACCUACAUUUCUGUUAUGAUUUUCGUGAAUUUGUUGAUGUUCUUAUGAAUGCUACGAUUUAUUAGAAUGAAGCCUUCUUAUUGUUACGAUUUCACAUUUUUUUCUAAUUUUUUUUGUUGUUGAUAUUCGCGUUUAGUGAAACCUUUUCCGGUUUCAUACUUUGUCCUGUAUAAUGCUUUUCAAUUUGUUGUUGUUGUUCAUAUUCACAUAUAGUGAAACCUUUUUUGGAUUCAUACCUUGUCUUGUAGAUUAUGAAAUCUGUUUUCACGGUUAUAUGCCACACAAUGGAUACUUUUUUUUGGUUUCAUACUUUAAGAACAAAUACCUUGGCCAUAUUGUGGCAGCAAGGUCUAACCGGGAAUGGGGGAAUGAUGCGAACUGGAAUUCUUUUUGGAGAAUUUGAAGGAAGUAUUUUCCCCGCGAAAACAUCUUACUUUUUUGAGUGAUCGAUCAUUGUACAACCUUAUUGAAUUAGCGACAAGCUCUUUUUUCAGAAUUUGAAAUUGAGUUCUACAACAAAAAUUCGAAGGGCAUGCCAUGUACGGCAGAUGUUAAGUCAUUUCGACGAAAAUUUAUCGAAUUUCAGUUUCAGUUUUUGUUUAAACUACAAUGUAUUUGAAUCUUUUUUUAUUUUUUUUAUAUUUAGUUUGACUGUUAUUUUUAUUUUAUUCUCUUAUCUACGUUUUCUGUACAGUUAAACAUGUUAAUUUUAUACAGGCGUUUCAUGUUUGUUUCA